AUGAUGUGCAAAGUUCGGGUGCUCACGCUUCAUAUCCUUGACGAUGGUUACCUCGCUCUAGACGACCUGCCUCUUGUCUCUCGGCAUCUAGGAACAUUGGACCUUCAAAGUGUAGCCCUACAAAAGGCCUUGCUUGAUUUUGCUAGCUGUCCAGCAUUGAAGGAUCUGAAGAUGAAUGAUUGUGAAAUCAAUGCUGAUAGGAUAUCAUCUCUUUCCCUAAAGCAUUUGAGCAUCACUUUCUGCCGCUCUGUCUCAGAUUGCCGGGUCCGUAUUUCUGCUCCCGGCCUCAUGUCUCUAAAACUAGAAGGCUUUAUUGGUGUGACCCCUUUUCUUGAAGACAUGGGUUUGCUAGAAGCCGCAUGUGUUAAUCUUGGCGAUGGAUGCAAAGAUGUCUGUUUGAAUUAUGACUCUGGUGUUUUCUGUGGAGCUAAUGAUAAUACAUGUAAGAAUUGUGUUCCUAUUAGUGAUGACUGCAGCACAAAUUGUGUGCUUCUGGGUGGUAUCUCAAGUGCUAAACACCUCAAGUUGAUGUCUGAAAUAGGAAAGUUCAUUUUCACAAGAGAUCUGAAACACUGCCCUGCAUUUAGUAAGUUAAAGACAUUAGUACUCAAUGAGUAUUGGUGUGAGGCUCCUGACUUGGAUCCACUAGCAUGCAUUCUGAAAAGCUCGCCACUUCUAGAGAACUCACUCUUCAACUAUUUUCGGAGGGACCAAAUCAUGAAGUGGAAAUGA
rnacentral:rRNA from 1 species